GGAUAGAGAACGGCACUUCUUUCUCUUCCGUGACAGCGGUUAGAGGUUUUCCAGGCGCUGGAAAUCUCAAGCCACGUCAGUUGAAGUUGAAGCUUUGUGCUGAGAACUUCGAGUUCAGGUCUGGGAGAAGCACGUUGCGGAGACCUGGUCUGCGGUAGAGUGAUUGUCCUUUGUCAUUUCGUUUUUUGUUUUGGCCAUAUGGAUAUAUGUCUUCAGUUUACAGAACAGGCCUUUUCAAAUUAGGACUACUUUACUUUGUUGUUGAAUUGUGUCUCUUCCUGGACACAAUCAUAGUGGCAGUCCCCGGGACAGUCUUUGGGCCUUAGCAUGUAAAAGAUGCCUUAAUUUAACACUGUGUUUAAUCAGCAUACCAUAAGAAUGCGAUUAGUGGAUCUGGUAUCAGUGAGUCAGCUCACUCUUAAUCCUUCAAAGUUUGACCUCAGUGCUGAUGAAUCUGAAGCGUGCACCCCAACUUUGCUUUCACCGGUAUCUUCGCCCUCCCCCUCAAGUACAAAAGCAUUUAAAGGAACCCGAAAUGUGAGAUCUGGCAACUCAGGAAAAUUGAGCCGAGAAAAUUCCGAUGAAAUCUUUGAACCAAAUGAAGGAAGAAGGAAGCGCCACCACAUCUGGGAUACCAUCAGAACAAGCCCUCGCUUGACUCCUUCAAAAUGUAGCAGCAACUGCCGUCAUGGUUACCGCAACCGAAUCUACAGCACUGACGAAGAGAGUGACGUGAACAGCAGUUACCCUGCAAGUCCUGUCAAACAUCCAUUGUUGAAUCGCCAGCAUUCUCAAGGGGCUGUCAGUUACAAGAGUACUGUUAAAGAACAGUAUAAUAAUAAUUCGGGGAAUUUUUCCGAUGAAAUGUCAUCCAAGGAACUAGACAAAUGUCAUUUAUCAAAUCCAGAAGAAAAUAGAGAAACAUGCAUUUCUCCAAGUGAUUCUGAAGAGUCAAAUGACUGUGGAAGAUAUGCAGAAUGCCAAGAGAGCAGUUACUGUCAGCCAAAAAAGGCUCCUAGUAGCAAGAUGAAAAACAAGACAGUCAGAACUAAAGAUAAGAAAUGUAGGGAGGUUUCUGAUGAUACUGUGAAGUGUAUUAUUGGAAACGAUGAAAAAAGCCCUGAUGUACAUUCUGGAGCCAAGCCCAAGAUAAGAAAGGUUAAGGAUUUAGGCACAGGCAUUAUUGCAGCCAACAGUUUAUCUCGCAGAGUAACAAACAGUGGCAAAGUUAUCCGUAAGAAAUCGAUUACCACUACUACAAAUCCUCAAGUUGAUGGAAAAGAGGCAAAACAGAAUGGUAACUAUUUGCUUGAAAGACAAUCUUUGAAAACACGUGGCAAUGGCAGUAAGAAACAAAAUAGCAUUGCAGUCGCAAAGAAAAACUCUCUUUGGAAUAAUGUGAAAAAUAACCCUUCUGUUGUAAGUGGAAAAGCUGAAGGUAAACUACAAACGUCCCUUCAUUCUGACAGUGAUAAGAGUGAUGGCCUGACAGAUGUCAAGGAUUCAAAGUCUGAAGGUUGGGAUGUUAUAAAGAAAAAUGUUACGAGUAGGAAGCGCAUCAAAAGUAAGACAGGAAUUAACACUAAUAAUUCUUCCAAAGUUCCUGCUAUCUGUGAAAUGAAUAAGCAGAAGGCAAAUCAAAGUUGUCCAGAUGACAGCACUACCAUUUUCAAGAGUAAUAGGCUUAACCAGAGAAGAGGAAGUCUGCAGAUAUCUGGAAGCAGUAAAAAUAGAAGUCCCAGCAGUGACCGUCAUUUCAACCAUCAGAGAAGCAAAUCUAAUGGGAGAAGGAACAGCUUACAUGGCCAGGAAACCCCUUGUAGUAUGAGGAAUGAUUUUUCACAUUCCAGGAGUAGCACCAAUAUAUUAAGUUCUCCGGGAAGCAGUUGUAGUAGUAGGACUGAUUUGCACUCAAGUAGUAGAAGGAACAGUCUGCAUAGUCUACAGGGAAGCAGAUGUAGCAGCAGGACGGAUUUUUCUUCUAAUAGUAGAAGGAACAGUAUGCAUAGUCUUCCAGGAAGCAGAUGCAGUACCAGGAGUGACCCUAAUUUCCUUUACGUUAAUGAGAACUUGAGAACUAUCAGCAGCCUAAGUUCUAGAAGUGGCAAUUCCAACUGUCAUGGCAGUAAAUCUGAUGUUAGUGAAACUUCCCCUGUGCCUGGAAAUUCUUGGAACCCCUACUGGAACAGCAAAAUUGUUGUUGCUGCCAAACCUCUAAAAAACCUGGAGAGUGCCAGAGCUUUGAGGAAGAGAAAGACCCACACUGCUAGAAGAUCUUCUAUCAUGACAAAGGGUUUGAAAGAAGAAUGUAGUGAAUAUGAUACAUCAGAUGACUGUUCUAGUAAUAAGAUUGGGGAACUUACCGUUGAUAACGUACAAAGUACGGAAGUUUUUAGAAGUAGGUCAGGCUAUAUGAGGCAAGGCAGAAGACACAUUUCAGGUAGUAUCAAUAGCCUUCCUGGAUAUAGGGAGAGCGCUAGCAAUAGUUUUGAAAGGGACAGUGCCAUUGGAAGCAUGAAUAGUCUUGGUAAAGAAAAAAGUUAUGAUGGUGAUCACCUUAGUGGUAGCCUAAGAAGUCUUGACAGUUGGGAAUAUCCAACUGUCAACCUGAACAGAGGUAGUUACAAUGAGAGUAUCAAGAGUCUAGAUGAGUUUCGAAGUUCAUCCAGAUGCAAUGUUGCAUCUAAAAAAGGCUUCUGCAGUCUUAUUGAUAUUAAAGAUUAUAUGAAAGGAAACAUGCAUAAUUUAAAGGAAGAAGAUUCGAGUUAUAAUUGUACAUAUCCAUAUAAUGGGUCUAAAAAUUAUGGAAGUACUCCACAACAUAUAGGCAAACUGACUGGGAGGAAAAAUUGCAGAGAGAACAGUACCGGCUGUUCAUCUUGGGGUAGCCUCCCAAAGCUCAGCAGAGGGUUGGAAAGUGUCCAACAGUGUAUUGAGGAUAAAGCUACCAGGUGGAAGCCAGAGUUUAAAGCAAACUCCACAUUAAACGAUGACAAUGUUAAGGAAAGAGCAUCUCAAGGCUGGGAAAGUAUCAGGCGUAAGAUUAUGGUAAAAGAUUGGGGUAGAGAGGGAAAGAAAGCAGCUAAUAGCUUUAGAUCUGGUGGAGGGGAAGGAGAGAGUGAAUGGUUUGCCAGUAAUGAGGAUGCAGAAGCAAAUGUUAGCUCCAAAACCUUAAGAGUUGAAAUACCAAGGAGUCGAAGUUUAUCCAGUAGACGUGCUCCCAAGUUUAGUGAACUCUUUGGAGGCCCAGAUGGUUCACAAAGAAGAGCUGCUCGAUCUACUUAUACUUCUGAGGAUCUUCGACCAUCAGAGAAAAGGUCUAAGUCCCUAGGAAGGAACAGAUCCAAAGCACGAUCUCAUGAAUCAUGGAACAGUAGAGAUAUAGAUAUCUUAAAAGAAAAGCAAAAGCUUCAAGUAGCAAUUCUGAAAAGUAUACAAGAUAGUGGUCAUAGUGAUAGUGAAGAUGACAAAAGCCCUGUAGAAGGCUUAGAGAGUGGCCUUGGAAGCAGCUUUGAUGAGAGCUCAGAUAGCAACCUGCCAGUUCAACCAGAGGAGUCUCAGUCGUCACACCCUGAGAAAGUUUUUGCUGCAAUCACUAGCUACCUUAUGACAGUUGAUCAGAAUGAGACUGAUGAGGAAAUUGAUAAUUUUAAUAGAGAAGCAGAUGGCUUCGAUCCGGAGGAUCUGAUGCUUCUAACUGAUCAUGAAGACAACCUGACCUGGGAAGAUUUAAUUGUCUGCUACAACAUGAGCCCAGUUCAUGUCCCUAAAAGUAAGAAUAGUGAAGACAAGGAAGCUUGUGAUGGUACUGUGUCUGAUCUUGCUGUUCCUGAUAUUCAAGAUAUUUCAGAAAGUCAACAGGAAGAGUUGGAUAUGUUACUAGAAAGCGACGGUGAUUACGAUUCGCUCUCUUUGAUUACUGAUCACAAAAGUAGUAAUGUUACUGAAGGACUGAAUGCUGAUGAAAAGGAGGUAAGUUCAUCAAACCCAGCCAGGUUUACCAGAAGUGAAGCUUUCCAAACAGAUGCUAAAGUGCAGCAGAAUAGAGAUUUAAUGAAUGAGAGUGAAAAGGACAAUGCUGACACCAUUCAUCAAAAGAAACUCCAGAGUCCAAUGUCCAUCCCAGUUAAUACCCUUGGGGUAAAUGCUGUUGCCAAGGAUACAAUUGACAGUGUCCAUCAAGGAUCAGCGCAGAUUACUCUAGAGUCUGAUGACAGCGAUGCUUCAAAUAGUAUCAGUCACAAACCUGAAAAUGUCCUUGUCGGUCAGGUUAAAGAGAUUUCUGCAGAGCCAUCUUCUCCCGGUAAUUCUGCGCUGAAAAAGGAGAUAGCUGGAAACUCAGUUACAGACACCCGAAGCCAAGAAGGAAAGGAUGAAACACAGAUGUCGGAUGCUGCUGUAGAAAAUCAGCGUGGUCGCACCAGAGCGAAUGAGAAACGUUCUGUUCCGGAAUCCAGGGAACGCAGUGUUAGCUGCAGUGAAAAUAUCAGGGCUUUCCUAAUUACCAAGCCAUGUAGUGAGGAUUCAAGUAACACUGAUAAUGUUGAAAUAGAAGGCAAAGACAGCAGCAAAUAUCAUGUGGUUUCUGUGGGGGCCAUUCAGGAGAGAGCUGACCCCGUAUCUUCGUGUUCGCAAGAAAAAGGAAAGGAGGCAAAGAAAAAACAGGCCAAGCUUAAAGAAAAUGCCACUAAGAAGUCAGCCAAGAACUCGAUGCUGGAGUCGUUCCUGAGUAUGUUCUGCACGACACCCGUCACCGUCGAGGGCAUCGCUCCAGAAUCGGAGAGCCAUGACACCGACCCGGAGCCCCUGCCCCCGCCCAUACCUCCCCACGCCGUCGAUCCAGAGAUCAUGACGGCCGAUGAAGCCGAACGUUUGCUCAGUGCCAACAUUGUGGAAGGCAAAGUUCGGGAGAGUCAGAGCAUUUUGUCUGACGAAGAAGCUCAGGAAGUGGUUCUAUUGUUGUCACCACCAAAUGAGGACUCCUCCAAAAUAUUGCCACCUCCUCCACCCCCUAUUCCUCCCCACCAUGGUGAAGGGCUUUCCUCAGUGCCACCUCAUUAUGACAUACCCCCUGCUGUUCCACCUCAUUAUGCAGACAUAACCCCUCCAGUUCCUCCUCAUUUUGGUCCAAAUGUGGAUGAGUUCGAUGCCAGGAUAGCAUCUCAUUUCGAUGCAACAUUAGCCUCUCCUCUAAGUCCUGAAGAUGAGCCAUCAGAGGCAGAUUCCUCAGAGGAAACUGGGGAUAUUUGCCAAGUGUCAAGAGUUAAGGAGGUUUUGGUUGAGGAUGGGGUCCAUUACCUAGAGGAUGGGCAUUUUUGGGUCGAAGUUCCUGGUUUACCUGAAGACGAUGAUGAAGAGGACAUGGAUCCUACACUGCCUUUUCAUCCUCAUACAAAGCUCUCUUUUUCAAAGGAACCCAUUCAGGUAUUUAGCACAUACUCGGUAACAGAAUAUGACAGGAAAAAUGAUGAAGUUGACCCUGUUGCAGCUAGUGCUGAGUAUGAACUGGAGAAAAGGGUGGAGAAAAUGGACCUCUUCCCUGUAGAAAUCAUUAAAGGUGAAGGUGGGCUUGGCUUGAGCAUCAUUGGAAUGGGAGUUGGUGCUGAUGCUGGUGUUGAAAAGCUUGGUAUAUUUGUCAAGACCAUCACUGCUGGUGGUGCUACAGAACGAGAUGGCAGAAUACAAGUGAAUGAUCAGAUAAUUGAAGUUGAUGGAAAAAGUCUGGUGGGUGUAACUCAGGUGUUUGCUGCAUCAGUCCUCAAGAACACAAGUGGUCGUGUCCAUUUCCUAAUUGGCCGUGAAAAAGAUCCUGAGAAUAGUGAAGUAGCACUUCUCAUCAAACAGUCUCUGCAGGCUGACCGUGAGCGUGAAGAACGUCGUCGAGCCUUGGGUGGUCCUGAUUAUGACCCGCAUACAGGAAAUGGCCUCUUUGAUCCCAUGUCUUCUCCUUCAGAAGAAAACUCUCGUUCUGAAGAGGUUCCACAGAACUAUUCGUCUUAUUUGGAGGGUGGUUCUUCUCCUACCUCCCCUGAUGCUGUCUCACCACCCAUAGAAUCUUUUGACUUGGAGGGUGAUACAUCUGACACCUCACCAGAUAAUGAUGCUGCCAUACUCAAGCUAAGGCUGAAGGAGGUCCAGUAUAAAAAUGCUGUUGCUGAGGCAGAAAUUAACAAACUUAAGAUGACGUUACUGGAAAUGGAGAAGAUUGUAACUGAAAAUGUGCAGUAUUCUAGUCAACUGAAUGAGGCCCAAGUCAAGGUGGUGGAACUGGAUGAAAAGUUACAAUCCAAGCUCAGUGAAGUGUCCACUUAUCAGGAUAUGCUUGAGCAAUCUCAGGGACAAUAUAUCAUACUGGAGAAAAAGUAUUAUAAGGCUAAAAAAAUUAUUAAAGAGUACCAGGGUCGGGAAAGGGACUUCUUACAUCGUGAAGAAUACCACAUCACUCAACUAGAAGAGAAAGACUCGCACUACAAUGCCCUUGUAAAGGCACUUAAAGACAGGGUAAUAAAUUUAGAGGAAGAACUGAAAAAUGCUCAGAAAAAGGCUGGUUUACCUGUGGAAGUCCCUUCAGAUCUUAGUGUACAGCCAGCAUAUUUAGACCUUCAACAAAGUGCUCAGUCUGCGCUUGCAAAGGAACAAUGCAAUAUACUGGCUAUAUCAUACUAGCUAAUUUGCUGCUAUAAACCCAUUCCUAACAUACCAACCUAUUGUUCCAGUAUAAGAGUUGUUUUCACCUGUACUUUUUUCCAAAAGAUCACUGAUCCUUCUGACAUUGCACAAGUAGAGUUAAAUUUUUUUUUUUAGCAUUUUCAUUAGGAGAUUUUCUUUGAAUUUUGAAUAUUUAUUGAAAUAGUGUAUUAAAAUUUCAGGUCUGAGCAGCUUAUCCAUGUAUUUUUAUAUCAUGAUGCCCAUUAUGUUUCUUUGUUGUUUUUUAGUAAAUGUCACAAUUAUGGAGGAGCAAGGGUAUUGUCCCUUUUUUUACUUACUCUGGAAAAGAAAUGUGCAGAGAAACCUAGAUCUCUGACAUUUAUCAGUUCAUUAAUACUAUGGUCUCAAAGCUAAUAAUACAGCUCAAAAUUUACCUGCCAAGAGCAUGAUUAGCUAACUGCAGGCAUGUGUGAGCCUUAGGAAUGGUUCUAGAGGGGUUUAUUAACAAUGACACCUGUACAUAUGCAGUCAGAAAAGGCAAUGUUUGCAAACUGCUGUUUGUCAUUUUAGAGGUUAGUUCCCAGUCGUAAUAAAAACUCAACUCCCUGCUUUUAUUAGGAACUUCCUUUUGUGAUAUCAUAAAGUUAAAGAAGAUUUAGUACAGUACAAUACUGCAAAUUGCUCUUAAACACUGAGACCAUUAAUUUUACCUUCGCAUUGAUAAAAAACUUCUGACAACUAUAGUUGACUAUUUCCCCAGAAAUUUAUUGGUAGUAUUAAUAUUGGUUAAACAGUACAUAUUUGGGUUUUCCAGAUUUUAAAUAUAGCAAUAAUUUGAUGUUUAUUUCUGCUUUUGUUAAAGAACUUGCAGCAUCAGUACUGUACUACAUUUUUUUUUUUACUGUAUUUAUUUUCUUGAGUAUUCAUUUUUAUUUCUUUCUUUCUCUUGCUGUUUUCUUCACUUGAAAUUACACUGGUAUAUGUGAACUCCAAUAAGAUUAUAUGUAAUAAGGUGAGGUAGAUAAUUGAUUUAAGCAGGGCUACAAUUGUAUGCCGAUUUUUUACCUUAUUUCUUAAUGAAAGUCACUCCCUCUAUCCUCCCCUGAUCUUAUAAAUUAGUAUAUGGAUUAAGUAUUGUUAUAGACUAAACCACUUCUUUGGGAUUUGUUAAUUUUAUCAUGAUUGGAGUUAUAUGAAAAAAUUGAGAAAUAUUAUUUUCAGUGGUCUAAGAGAUGCUUGCCUGUGGGGCAUAAAGGUACUUAGUUCUGUUUCUAAUCUUUUUUUGCAUAGUAAAGCAUAUGCAUUUAUUCACCAAGGAAAUUUCUUGUAAUGUGGUGUUCAUUCAUCAAGGAAAUUUCUUGUAAUAUGGAGUUUUUGUCCAUUUAAAAAAAAUGUUCAAUGAGAUUUUUCAUAAUUGAAAUUUAUUUUGAUUUGAAGUAGUAUUCCUCAAAUCUAACAUGCUGAGUUGCUGUAAGGAGGAUUAUGUAAAGUUGAAAAGGUCAUAGGUGGCUGUGUAGUUGUUUCUCCCAGAAGUAGAUCAGGUGAUAGCUAAUUUAAUUUUAUUGAAGAGUCAGUGAGAUAGGCAAUACCAUGCUCUUAUUUAGUUGAGGCCAAAAGGAAAUAAAAAAAAAAAAUUGUCUUAUUUUUGUUGUUGAAAGGUUGAAGUUUAUGGGGGAUUUGAGAGAACACAAGCUGAAGGGGGGGGGUUCAUAAGUAUUUGUGCUUGUGACACUUGCAUUAGUGGCAUUUUGAUUAUAUGUUUCACCUUUUUCAUUUUAUCUCCACAUGAAUUUUCACUUUGGCAUGAUAAUAAUUUUAAUUUAUUUGGAAGGUUUGAUUCAAACAUGUCGUUCUCUAUGAUGAUCCAGGAGGAUUUUUGCUAAUUGCACGACCAAGUUAUUUCUUGAUGAGUACAAAUUACUUAAGUACUUAACAGAAUAAUUACACAGUCACCUCUCAAUUAACGUGUGUUUAAUUAACAUGUUUUCGAUUUAUUGCGAGGUAGAAAAUAUUUAAAAAUGUUUAAAAAACGCAAAAAUUUUGAUUUAACCCAAAUUAACACCUGAGCAUUGUUUUCAAAUCACCCAUGCAUCAGCGGUGCAGACAACAGCUGUUGACAUAAACAAAGACAUAGCACAGUUUGUAUUUAUUAAUAAAGAGAAAAUUUUGUUUAUUUAUUAAUAAAGUGAAAGAUUUUGUUUAUUUAUUAAUAAGCAAAAAAAAAAAAAUCGACACGAAAUGAGAACCAGCUUCAUUCUGACAUCGGCAUCAUUGAGCAAUGUCAUGCUGCUGAUGGCUACGAAUAAUUACGCACGUAACGAAUAAUAUGCAUUUUUUUCAUGAAUCUUUUAAAAAGUUAUAGAUUACUUCACUGUAUCCAACAAUAUUGUAUGUAUUCUCAUAUUUUUGUUAUAAAAUAAUAACAUAGCGGUCAAUGUUUUGGUUUGGAAAUCAGUUGAUGGCGAAUACGAAUUUAUUUUGCCAUAUUUAAGUUAGUUCUGUGCAAAUUUUCUUGCUUCUAGUUAGCAUAAACUAAUAUCUAGAUGUACUUUACGAAUAUGAGACAAGGUUAUUUUUCGUUAUAUGUAUAAAAAAAUUUUAAGUUGAAAUAUGUCUUUAAUAAGUUGUUGUGAAAUAAAUGAUUUUUUUCAUUAACAAAUUACAUUGGAAGCAUGUUUAUUGUGUAAAAAAAAAAAAAGACGUAAUACCGUUUUUCACUUGAUUUCAUCGUAAUACGAGCUUUACGUUAUUUACCUUUUAAUUGCUUACUAUCAUACGAUGGUUGAAAUACACCAAACGGAUGUUGCUGUUGCUGUUAUCCAAUUCGGUUGUACUUAGCAAAAAGGCACAGCAUUCCCAAAGUCCAGGAACGUAACCCCCCUUAUUCCUGUUAUUUCAUAUGGGAAAGAUAUGUUUAAAAGACACUUUUUUAAUUAACCCAAGCUCUCCAGGAACGUAACCCUCACGUUAAUUUAGAGGUGACUGCAUAUCAGAAUCUUUGUAAUUGAUGUAAAAGUUAUGCUACUAGAUGGUGAGUAGGAUUUUUAUGACAUAUCAUGCUAUGAACUGCAGAAAUUUCUUAAGCAGAAAACAAGGUUGUUCAUACGCGAACAAACCUUUGGUCUUAACAAUAGGAUAAUUUCUAGCACCUAGCUGGAUCCGGUUAAAAAAAAAAACAGAUGAAAGCAAGGAAUCUCGUGAUAUCUGGCAAUGCAUGCGUAGAUCGGGUGAAGGAUGGUCGAAGACCAUUCAUUUAUGUUCGCGCAUCAGUCUUUCUUUUGACCGCCUGGGCGAGAGUCAUGUUAACCUCUCUUGGCCUUUUCCCGGUUCAUUGCCGGUUUCGCUUCUGUUUAGUGUGUGUGUGUGUUUGGCUGGUAUUAUGGCUUCUUCUGCUCCUUCUCGGCGUCAACGUAUGUGCCCUGGAGUUCCUGGUUUUCCGUGUUCUCGUUUUUUUGCUUCGGCAGCGACCGACCCUCGCAUAAUGUGCAGUAGGUGUCGGUCUAAUUUUUGUACUAAUACGAAUCCUUGCAUGGAAUGGCAGGCAUGGCCUGCGGAACAGUGGAGGUCGUUUUAUGGCAAGAGAGAACAUCGGAGGGUUUUGAUUCGACUCUUCCUACUUGGGAAGAUUUUGCGCCCGGUGUUUUGUCUCCUGCAGUAGUCAACCCUCAUAGUAGCGUUGUCCCUGCGUCUCCUUCCUUUUCUUCCAUUAAUUUUUCGAUGGAAGUAUCGGGAGGCCGCCAGGCUAAUGUUGGUAAUGAGGCCCUUCUUCCUUGGGAGUUUAUUUGAUUCCCAAGAAGGGUGAGGCUUUUUCAUCAAUCUCUUCUCUUUCAGAGUCGGAGGCGUUCAAAAUGGCGGUGAUUUUGAAGACGCUCGGGCUAGGGGGUACCCCGUCCUUGGAGGGGUUGCGAGCACAUUUUGUGGAGGCUCGCACCCCCCCUUCCCGGACUGCCCAGGCCAUCCCCCUACUCCCGGCCUCGUCUUCGUGGGUAGCAGAAGUCGGCCAUCUUGUAUUGCUCCACCAGUGUCUGCUGCUGCUUCAAGACGGAGUUACCCUGUGGCAUCAGCCCCGUUGAUACGUCAUGGGAUCCGUCUUUGUGUAUUCCUCCACCAGUGGCGUCUCAUUCCCCCUCGCACCGAGGGGAAGCCGUGACGUCGCCACCACUUGUGACAUCACUCCCAUCGGUGACGUCUUUCUCGGCCAUGACGUCAUCACUGCCGCCCAGUUCGCUACAUCUCCCUUCCUUGUCAUCAGAGCCUUCUCUGGCACAUCAGUCUGAGGUCAUAUGCCUGGCAGUGCUCCAGAGGUUGGACUCUGUAUUGGAUGUGAAGUUGGCUGCCUUAUCGUUGGGAGGACUGGUAGGAAACAUGUUGCUUCGUCCCCGCCUCCUGAGAAGAGUGCGCAUAAGAAACUAGUGCUGUCUUCCUCUUCCUCUUUCCCCUCUAUGCCCCGGUGGCAUAUCAAGCAUUGGAAGGCUAAGGACUUUGCCCUUCCUUUGCCUUCGAGGGAGGGACAACGAGGAUGUGUUCCCGAGAGUGCUGUUGUUUCGGGCAGUGUUAGUGGUGUGCGAUCUGCAGGAGAUGCUUUGUCCUCUGACUCGAAUCUCAGGCGUGUUACACCCCCCUCCGGUCCAUGUACAUCGCAAGCGUGUUGCAACCUCCCCUGCCCGUGUACGUGAUGUUAGUGCUCCUUCUUCUCCAAGACCUAUUCGUCGCUGUAAGGAUCUCAAGGCGCCUGUCAAGAGGUCGAAGGUAGUGAGCGCAGAGUUGGUGCAGCUGGAGUGUUUGCCUGCCUCUCACUGGUGCUUCCAAGAGUUCGACUCUUGGGGAUUCUCCUUCGAUCUCGGGUGUUCGAGUCCCCCCCCCUCUCACAUACGUACGUCCGCCACGCCCGUGACCAUUCAUGGCCAUGUGGAGUCAUCUGUUGAAGUAAGCGAUGUUCCUAGUGUUAUAGUGGGUUCGUCUCGGAAGCCGACGCAUGGACCCAGCCCAGACAGGUUAGUUGGGGUUUAGGGCUGUUUGGCUGCUAACCCUUCCAUUAAUUAUAAGAGCCUACACAUCCUCCUCCUCGUUGGUCUCCGUUGCCGGAGCGGUAGGAGGGAGACACGCAAGAGUUUCUGUCUUCCUUUUCGGAAGUUGUUGAGCUCAUUCGUGUGUUUAACAAUUUGGAAAGUAGGACUCAGGCUCGGUCGUCUUACACUCCUUCUUGCUUGGAGACCUUGGUGGGAGUUAAUUAGGACCCCAAAUCAUCUCUUCAGCUUCAUUUGUCGGGGCACGUUCAGUCGGUCUUGCAGAAGGUUAAGGCCUCUGUUUUGGACCGGGAUGGUUCACUUCGCUCUAGGGACUCUACCAAACUACUACCCCUGCCUCUCACGAGACUUAAGAAGUACUAUGCUACAAGCUCUGCAUUUUUGUUGUCACACCAUCUUAACCCAGACAUCAUUCGCCUGAAGCCGGGUUUGACUUUGGAUGCCUCAGCAGUGGAAUCUACGGCAGCCUCCAUGUUGUAGACGGUUUCUUGGCUGGACCUCUGGUCUGUGGUUAUUGCCAAGAUAGCUUCUGACAGGUCCUCAGAAGGGUUGGUUAGUGCCUCCUCGCUUGCCAGUCUGUUGCAGUCCAGGGCAAGGCGUUUUCAUAUUUGGCUCACCUCGGUGCUAAUUUAUGGGCUAAUCUUUUUCUGAUUAGAAGGGACACAGCUUUGUCCAGGAUGGAGAGAUUGCUCAACACCCAGUCCUUGCUGGCAUUGAGGAACAGAGAUCUGUUGGAGUCCCAAUUUUGUUUCCUCAGACAGAAAUCGAGAAUGUGAUAGACCGGCACCAGGCUGACACCAAAGACAGACUGGUGCACCAGGCCGUGUCUAAGUUGAAGUCUCGUCCUUGGAGACGUCCGGCUCCUCCUCCUCCUCCUGUUCAGCAGCAGUCAAGGAGAUCGUCGCCUGGUAGGCCGUCGAGGACCUUGAGUUCGGCAGGGCCUUCCCAUUCGACACAGCCUAAGUCAGAAGAUCAAUGCCCCUUUCGCUCUCAUUCCUUUAAGCCAAGAAGGGGCCCAAGGGGCAGAGGUAAAGGGGGUCGUCGGUAGGUUAGGCGCCUCUCCCUCUCCAGCGCCACGGGUGGGGGUUGCCUGGCUGGCCAUUGGGCCAAGUGGAAGAGUUAUGGGGCGGAGAAGUGCAUGAUAGAUGUACUUUGGGUGGGAUACUUACUGCCAUUAAACUUCUCUCCUCCUCUGUUGGACAAGCCGCAGCUCAGGAAGGCAUAUCCUCCAGAUUCUCUGAAGUUCUUGGCUCUUCAGGAGGAAGUGCAGAAAAUGCUGGACAAGGAUGCGAUAGAGGAAGUAGUGUGUCCGUCCCUUGGGUUUUACAGUCACAUCUUCUUGGUGCCCAAAGCGUUGGGAGGAUGGAGGUCUGUGAUCGACUUAUCCACCUUGAAUCAUUUCAUCAGGAAGACACGGUUCAAGAUGGAGACCCUGCGCUCGGUGUUGGGAGCCAUGAGGGAAGGCGACUUCAUGCUGUUCAUAGACUUAAGGGACACAUACUUCCAAAUCCCUGUUCAUCCGACGUCCAGGAAGUUCCUUCACUUCUCUCUUGCGGACAAGAUCUUUGAGUUCAAAGUCUUGUGCUUUGGGCUGACGACAGCCCCUCAAGUGUUCACAAGGGUCUUCUCGCUCGUGUCAAGUUGGACCCGUGCUCAGGGGAUCCAUUUGCCGAGGUACCUCGACAAUUGGUUAGUCUUGGCAGUUUCCAGUGAGAAGCUGCUGUAGGACAGGGAUCGUCUACUUUGGGACAGGGAUCGUCUACUUUGGUUCUGUCUGGACCUGGGCAUAUUAGUCAACCAGGAAAAGUUGAAUCUCGUACCCACUCAAAGGAUUCUCUACCUGGGCAUGGUCAUCGAUACGACAGUGGCAAAAGUUUUUCCGUUGGAUCAGACAUUAGAGAAGUUGCAGGCAGUAGCACACAACUUCCUGUCAGAGUCACAUCAGUCAGCUCAUCUGUGGCAGGUUCCUCUGGGAGUGUUGUCUUUCCUGGAGAAGCUGGUCCCUCAUGGGCGUCUUCAUCUUCGGUCUCUGCAAUGGAGACUGGGAGAAUUCUGGUCUCUGGCAGGGGACUCUCCCCUGUUAAUGGUUCCUCUGUCUCUGGAGGUGAGAGAAGACCUUCGUUGGUGGUUGGAUGACCAGAAUCUGUUGAAGGGUGUCCCUCUGCGUUCUCUUCCACCGGACUUCCUUUUGUUCUUGAACGCCUCCCUCACAGGUUGGGGCGCUCAUUUAGGCGGCCUCAUCGUUUCAGACGUUUGGAGUUUGGAGGACAAGCAGCAACAUAACGUCUUGGAGUUGAAGGUGGCUUUCCUGGGUCUAAAGGAGUUUCGGGGGAAGGUAGAGGGUCAUUCUGUCGUUCUCAUGUCAGACAACACCAUGAUGGUAGCCUAUGUGAACAAACAGGGAGGCCUGGUUUCACGUCAACUUCACGCCUUGACCGUCGAGCUUCACCAGUGGGCGGUCAGCAAUUCGGUAGAGCUCUCAGCCAGGUAUAUCCCCGGGAAACGGAACGUGGUCACAGACAAACUCAGUCGCUAGGAUCAGAUCCUAGGCACAGAGUGGUCCCUUCAUCAAGUGCUGGCAGACAAGCUUUUCCAGAUUUGGGGGAGAUCCAUGCUGGACUUUUUUGCGACACGUUUCAACAGGAAGCUGGAGGUGUUCUGUUCAGUGGUUCCAGAUCCUUUAGCAUUGGCAGAGGACGUAUUCCAACAUCCCUGGGACAACCUGGAGUUGUAUGCCUUCCCUCCAUUUUGUUUGAUCCGUCAGGUUCUGAACAGGCUGAUGAAUUCACAGGGUCUCAGGAUGACUUUGGUAGCCCCUCUGUGGCCUCAGGCGGAAUGGUUUCCAGAUCUGCUGUCGUCGUUGUCAGAGGUUCCAAGGGAGAUUCCCCCUUGGCGACAUCUUCUGUGUCAGCCCCAUGCGGAAAGGUUCCACCAGUCAGUAGAAUCCCUGUCUCUUCAUGGUUGCAGGCUAUCAAGUAUCUCCUCCAAGCGAGAGGCUUUUCUUAGAGAUCACCUGGGCUCAUGUUCACCAGUCUUAGAAAGUCGAACUCUGUGGUUUACCAAGGCAAAUGGGCGAUCUACUGUGACUCCACUCGUGAUCUCUAUUCAGCGAAUAGCAGACUUUUUAACCUUCCUCAGAGACGAGAAACGUUUGUCCGUUUCUGCCAUUAGAGGCUACAGGGUGGCCCUGAGUUUGGUGUUACGCCUUAAGGGUAUUGACAUCUCUUCCUGGGAACUUUCCCUGCUGCUUAAGGGGUUUGAGCAGUUGAGUUCUCCUAGAGAGCUCAAGCCUCCGACAUGGGAUGUUUCCUUGGUUCUUAAGAGCUUCACUAAAGAGUCCAUAUGAGCCCUUGCGUCGCUCAUCUGACAGGAACCUGAUGCUCAAGACAGUUUUCCCUCUGGCUUUGGCAUCUUCCAAGAGGGUAGGAGAGCUCCACGGUCUGAGCUAUGAGGUGAAGCACACCAGGGGUUGGGGGUCGAUGUCCUUCGAAUUUGUCCCAGAAUUCUUGGCCAAGACCCAAAAUCCCUCUGUGCAUGAUGACAGGUUCACUUCGUUUUCCAUUCCAUCACUGACUGAUUUUGUGGGUGGUGAUGCUCAAGAGCUUUUGUUGUCCCCUGUCCGGGCCCUGCGUUGCUAUCUUAAAAGGACUCGGCACCUUAGAUCAGGCUGCCACAGACUUUUUGUUAGCACAGGCCGUACAAAGAAAGAGGUGUCUAAGAAUACUAUCCCUUUUUGGAUACGGGAAGCCAUCAGACAGACAUACUUGACUCUUGAUGAUUCUACCACCACGUCUGUGCAGGCUAGAGCACAUGAUGUUAGAGGUUCUGGUCCCUCUCUGGCUUUCAAAAAGAACUUGGCUGUACAUAGAGUGCUGAGCGCUGAUACUUGGUUACACCAGUCCACGUUCACCUCCUUCUAUCUUAAGGUUGUUGCCCACAGAUCUGCGGACACAUUUUCCCUGGGUCCUGUGGUGACUGCACAACAGGUUAUGUAACUCUUAGUUGGCCUUAACAGGGCACCUUUGUAUCUUACCUAAGAUGAUUGUGUAGAUGAGAGAAUCAGUGAGUUGGCUGGUCUCCUCCUUUCUCUUGUACCUUUCCUUCUUCAUUCGGGCAGUUUGUUAUUGGACAGUCAAAGUUUCUCUUUGGUGCCCUAUACAGUGGUUAUCCCUUAUAUCAUUGUACUUCACUCAGGGUCUGAGUCGUUAGAUAUCAAUUUCAACGGGCUUCAGUUCCUCUCCAAAAACCAUUCCUUUUGAGAGCUGGACAGGUGGGUAGGCCCCCAGCCGGCCUAGGAUGUUUUAUACCUCUCUCCAAGUAUGAGUCUAUCCUGUUGUUAAGACCAAAGGUUUGUUCGUGUAUGAACAAAUGACAAAUUUUCCAAGACAAUUUGUAUUUUCCAUAGCUACAAACAAACCUGAGGUCUUAACAUUAUACUGCCCGCCUCUAGCCGCCCCUCUAUUUGUUAUGACAUCCUGAGUUGGGAAAGACCGAUGCGCGAUCAUAGGUGAAUGGUCUUCGACCAUCCUUCACCCGAUCUACGCAUGCAUUGCCAGAUAUCAGAAGAUUCCUUGCUUUCAUCUGUUUUUUUUAACCGGAUCCAGCUAGGCGCUAGAAAUUAUCCUAUUGUUAACACCUCAGGUUUGUAGCUAUGAAAAAUACAAAUUGUCACAGAAAAUUUGUCAUUUUUGGUGGAUGCUUGGCAUGUAUCCUUAUUUCCUAUUUGCUACUGACAUUUUUUAAAUCUGUAGACUAAGGAGACCCUCUUCAAUUUUGCUCUUUUGUGAGAUAAGUACUUGAAGAAGUUUUAAGGUUCCUGAGAUUUUCCUGCUUCUGAGGAUUAUGAAUACUAAUUUUGUAUCAUUAGGGUAUUGCGUUAAUUGUUCUUGGCUGUGUGUGUUGAUUCUUUGUGCUGCUAAAGGCAUGGUUCUUGUUACCCUCUCAAACACAUAUAAAUGAACAGAAGAUCCAAUUUUUCUGCAGCAGUGUUCAUUGAUAAUAGUUUAUGGUAAUUAACCAUUUUUAUUUGUUCCUAAUUAUUACUAAUAGUGCAAUGCAAGCGAGUUUAAGGUAGAAUGCAGUGUGAUGCAAUUUGUGCUAAAUAGGGUGAAAUUAUAUCAAAUUUACUGUAUAACAAACUUCCCAUAUAAUGGAUUAUUUUCAUAAAAUGACCUAGCCUCAGCCUCUUUCAAGUUUUUAUUUAGGAUUUAUUCCACUAUAAUUUCUACACCAUUGAAGAUAAACUCUUCAGACUACUAAUAUAUUUUGUAUUGGUGAUGACAAUUCCUCUUUCUGUGUGAUGGAUCCAAGGAUUAAGGUUAUACUUGGAGUUUUGAGGUCAAAUAAGAGAUUACUUUCAUCAGAAUCAUUUUGAGUUUUGAGGUCAAAUAAGAGAUUACUUUCAUCAGAAUCAUUUUGUUUUACAAACAUCUUAAUAACACAUUGCUUGUUGUUGUUAAAUGCAAUGUUGCUAUAUAGCCACCAUGACAAAAAGGUAUCAUCACCCUAAUUUUCUGAUUGAGGUUGACAUAACUUGAUGGUGGUUAUCGUAAGUAAUUUAUCGUGCAUUUGUUUACUGCUGUUUUAAGUAACCAGUAUUGGAGGUUUGCUCACCAGAUUAUCUUAAACAAAAACAGACUCGCACACACAGCAUGGGCUGGCAAAUUCUACUUGCUAUGUAGUUUAUGUUCUUCAGAUCCAUCCUUCUAAGGAGUUUCCUUGUUCAUGCGGACCACCUUUCUUCCUCUCCUUCAGAGGGUUGAAUGAAAUGCCUUCAUCCUCAUCAGUUAUCCAGCUCUUACUUUUGAAUUGUGUUAACUCUUGAAAUAUUGCAAGAAUAUGUUCCUGCUCACUAAUCUCUUAAGUGGUCAUGCAGUCCAUUUAGGGGUUUAAGUCUCCAUAGAUGCAAUUUACAAACUGGAAUGAGUUUCAGCUGAUGUAAACUAUUUCCAUCUUUACUGCUGAAGUCCUCCUUGCCUUCAUUGUUUCUAAAUUUAUUUAAUCCUCACCAGUAUUAGAAGAAUGUCAGUUAUCAAAAGUAAAUUUAUUGCUUUUACCCUAGUUUUUUAAUGCAGGCAAGUGAUAUGUGGCUGUUUUGAGCUAUCCCCCCCUUUUCUGCGCAAGAGAUUAAGUACACACACUGUAUUUGUGAAAGGGCUCAUACUUAUGUAACCUUUCAGUCGAAUCUAUGCUGAGCCUGGCAGAGCUACACAAAGUGUAAUGCUGACCAUGGUGAUAUUUUUCUUUGUAGAUAACAGAGAAAAUGUUAGCACCGAAGUGUCUGGUUACAUUGGAAGAACAGUCAAUUUUUCUUUAGUCAUCUUGACAUGAUUGUGAUUGUAGAUUUGUAAUUAUUGAAACAGUUAGAUGAGCAUUAAAUACUUAAGCAGAAAGUACGAGAAAGACUUGUUAAACCAGUUAUGUUAUUCUACUGUAACAUAAAAUUCAAGUUCAGAGUCAGUGGUGGGCAUAUUAGAGUGACUGAAGAUGAAUGUUGAUGCCCAUCAGGGACCACAUAUGAGUCCUUCAUUGUUGAUCAUAGUAAUAUAGUUGAAAAUGCAAGGGAGCAGAAGAGAGAGGCCCCCAGAAAUGCUACAUAUCAAGGAAAGCAAAGCUUUUAGUAACUGGAAAGGGAGCAAAGGAGAAAAGUCAGACAAGUGGCCUUCUGGAUAUUGCAGGAAAGGUGUAGGAUUGAUUUAAAAAAAACACACUUUGUAUCCAAAGUACAUGUAUCAGUUAGUGCCACAAGAAAUGGUUAGGACUUUGAUAUAAAAAUAGGGAUCUUUUGUACCAUAUAUAAGAAGAGUUAAUGGAUAAUGGAAGGAGUAUGAUAUGCCAGAUGAAAUUUCAUCCGGAAAAAUCCCCAAAUAGUAGCAAGCAUAGAAAAUGGACCUAUCCCGGGGACUGGGACAAGCAGCAAUAAAUAUGAUUCUAUAAAAUUUCCCAAAAUUAUCACUUAAACAAAAGAAAGUGGAGUACUACAUGGUUAUGAUGGCUCAUAAAUAAUUUUAUAAAUUUUUUCUUUGUAUGAAUAAUGCAAGGACGAUGCUUAUCUAGAUUUGUUAUUCUCACCCUGAGAGAACAUGCUCUUAUCAAAUUGGAGAUUUGUUUUUUAUUGUAUGAAAUUAUUUUCAGUGUCUUGAGAGUAUAUUAGUUUAGGAAUUAUUCUUUUUAAACAUCAUUUCCUUCUUUUAAGACUCUUCAAUAUUCAUAUUUGGAAUUGGAAACUUAUCACUAACUGAAAAAUAUGUAAAUAAUAAUUAACUAAAAUAUUUAAUAAUGCAUUUUCGAUUUAUUUUAUUUACACGUUCUAACUAUUGUAAAUACAUAUUUGAUAAUUCAUGUCACAGAUUACAGGAAAUCCUAAACUCGCAAAUACUUUACUUAUUACCGGUAGUCCCUAGUUAUUGUUGGACUCAGUUAUUGGUGAUCUUGUUUAGCACUGAAAAUUGGCAAUUUCAUUGCCAUAAUGCGCUGAUUUCCAGUUAAUGUCACUGACAAUAGAGUUAUGGCACCAAUACAUACCUUACUGAGUUGCCAUUAACUGGUUAUCGAUGCCAAAAUCCAGUUAUCAGCACCAUAAAUUGCUGAUUUUCAAACAUUGCCGAUUUUCGCUUAUCAAGCCGUUGGAAUAGAACCACCGCUGGUAACUGGGGAAUACAUCUAAGCACAUAAAUGGAAAUUUGAACAUGAAAGCAUUAUUAAUGUUAAUGGUAAAGCAAGACCAGAAAAGUUACAGGUAGUCCCCAGUUAACAGGGGGGUGUUCUGUUCCCGGCCAGUGCUGCUAACCGAAAAUCACCGAUAACACCACUACUAACCCAACCCACUUAAUGGUGCCAUUAACUGGAUAUUGAUUGACACCACUGUUACCUGGAGAUCAGUGAUGCUAACCAGAGAUUGGUGCCGCUAAUUGGAGAUCGGCGCUGAAAAUCCAGUUAACAGCGUUGGUAGACGAGCAUCGUAAAACUGAAUGGCCAUUAACCAGGGGCUGCCUGUAUUUCUUUUGGAAAUUUAGAUUUUGUAUGUAUUUUUCCCCAUCAGAGUAUAUUUCCUGCUCAUAAUUGAUCUGUACAGGCAGUCCCUGGUUAUUGGUUAUUGGCGGCCUCGGUUAUCUGCGAGCUGGUUUAAUUGAGCUUGUCUAACAAAUAAAAAUCACCGAUUUUUUGUCCCAGUAUGUGCCGAUUUCUGUAACCUUGUACUGGCUCUAAUGCAUAUGUAACAGAGGCGCUGAUGUCCGGUUUUCAGAGACGACAUCUGGUUAUCGGUACUGAUAAGUGCCAAAAACCACCAAUCCGCUGAUAACCAGGGACUUAUUAUUAUUAUUAUUAAUAGGGACUGCCUGUAUAUAAUUUUGCUCAUGGGCUCCAUGAAAGGGAAGCUAUACAUUGUUAAAAGUGUGGACUUUAUUAUUUGAUAAAACAAAUGUCCUGAAGAUUCUAAACCUGUGUCAAGGUUUGCAUAGAAUAUGGGUAAUUAUUCAUGGAAAAAGAGGCUUUCAUAUCACUGUAAUCUUUUUAUUUAUUUUGUCAUGGGAUCAUGGAUUAAAAGAAAAUUGGGUAAGCUGCUCAGUUAAAAAAAGAUUUUUUUUGUAUUGGUUAUUACAUUGUAUACAUGAGCUAACUUCCACUUUAGAGGAUCCCCAUCCAUCAAACAUGUACUGUAUAUAGUCCAAUUUUGCAUAUUUGUUUACACAUGCCUUUCCCAUUGGUGUUAUUAUUGUGACGCCCACUUCCCACUUGCACUGCUCAUAUGCUCGCAUCCCCCCCUUGCCUGUUUAGCAGCCUCCUCGCAAACCCAGUCUCAGCACGUUCGACCCAGAGAUAUCGGACACGGAAACUUCUGACAACGGAGCAUCUGAGGGCGACAAGGCAAACACAGUUGAGAGGAAGUUACCAGUGAAGGAAGAGUUAGAUGAAGCUGUCCCACC